rnacentral:lncRNA from 1 species
AUUGCAAUCACAUGUCUCGGCUUUUGUCUCUCUCCCAGAUCUUUGAUUCGCCGCUUCUUUACAAACUGUCAGCUGCACAGAGACCUGUCUGACUCCCCGCUCCGGCUGCACCGCCAUCCCAAUUCAUUUUCUAUAACAGCACAAGAUUGCCGGGUCUCCACAAUGUAACCCUGAUGAGAAAGGUUAGUGGGAGUGCACCUUCAGGAAGUAGUCUUUGUCUCUUUUUGGACCUAAACUGCAGCUGCACUCUUCAGUCGAGAGAACAGACAGGACUGAAGGAAAAGCAGACGUCUUCCUGCUGCUGCUGCUGCUGCUGCAUCCCACUGAGCAACAAAUUAGCAUUACUUCAGGAGGAAGGAAGGAAGGAAGGAAGGAAGGAACAUGGUACCAGGGUCGCAAUUAAAUUCCUGAUCCACGCUCCUCCACCAUGCAGUAAUCAUGUCAGAAAUCGAACGGAUCGAGCAGAGCUCCCGUGAUGAUUUGAACAUCCAUGAACUCAGAUGUUUAUAAGUCCAGAGAAAACUCUGAUCUCAUUAGGAGGUUCCUUUAAAACUGAGUGAGUGUGAAUGAGAAAGUAUCACAUUACAAACUCAGUAAAGUCCAGAUUAGGAUCAUUAUUGAAGGAACAACAAGCAGAAAACACGAACAAAGUUACUUGAACUGAGAAAAAUUAUUUGACAAACUUUACAAUGAAAGAUGAAAAACUCAUAACAACAUUUCUAUUUAGUCAUAAUUUAAUAGAAUAGGAUGUAAAAUGAGCUUCUGUCCAAGGAAUAAGACAUCUUGACCUCGAGUACUCAUUCAUAAACUCAAACCGUCACUGUUUCACACGGAUUAUUUUCAAGGUGACACAACGUACUUAUGUCACCACGGUAUAUGAUGGAGUAAGCGCAGUUUUGGUUUUGCGGAGCGGGAAAAAUGAUUGAUGAGAGGGGCUUUUCUUCUGCAGAGCUCCAGUAGCUCAUUAGUAAUUCACCUCUGAGUCGUGGGCGGAGACAGCGCUGCUCUGCACUCUCCUCUUCACGCUAGCCUGCAGCCUAACAGGCAAAACCCACAGGAUCCGGAUCCGGGCACGGCAGGCGGAUCAAAUACGCAAGAAUUAUAAUCAAUGUGAGUCAUUCCACAGAAUUCAUCUGCCGUCCGGCUCCGGAUCAGAUACACAAGGCUUUUAUUUUUGCCGGAUGCCGCAGCACGGCGCAUCAAUUCAGUGCAGCAGCGGAAGUUGUAAACGCUACAGAGUAAAAUAUCUGGUAAAUUUUCAAAAUUAAAGAAAAUCAAAACAUUUAACUGUUCUUAGCUUGGUAAUUGGAGAGGCCAGGGUUGUGGGAUGUGGGUGUUUAUAAACACCCCCGUUUAUAUACACCGAUUGGCGGAUCUCAUUCAAUGUCUCACGGGGAAACACGCGAGAACUUGUGAGAUCAUGUCUAGUCUUGCGAGAGCUAUCGGUAAUUUCGCGUGAACUACGAUGGUGGCGGCAGACCAGAUCCGGUGGGCGCUGUAUUCUUGCGUAUUUGAUCCGCCUGCCGGUCCAGAGCGGAGCCGUUCUGGAUCCAGUGGGAUUCCGAGUAACAUUGUUGGUGUAGCAGAAAUAGCAGGUAACAUAGAAGCUCCUGGACACUAAUGUCUUUGGGGACAUGAUGAAAGUUAAUAUCAUAAUUAGCUUUCUUACAAGCAUUACAAUCUGCUAACGUACACGCUUGUUCCAUGAAAACUGCAGUUUAACCAAAAAAAUUAUGUUUUAUCCAAUUACUCAAUUAAUCGAUGGAACAUUACGUAGGAUACUUGAUUACUAAAAUACUUGAUAGCACCAGCUCUAAUUUAGAAAUCUUGAUCAUCUGAUUUCUGCAGAAAAAUCCCUCUGGACUCCCGCUGAUGGAAAGCAAUAAUGAAGUCGACAAUGAGAAGUAAAGUUAACGGCCUCUUACUUUAACUAUGUCCGUGCUUGGAUGUAAAUGGAAACACUCCUCUGAAGCAGACUGUCCUUUACAAGGACAAUAAUGCCGCUGUAUAGACUGUGUGAGUUUGAAAAGAAGACUGUGAGCUGGAGUAAAGAGAGAAUUUCAGACACAACAAACAGACUCACACUAACCCCUGAAGAGACGAUUCAUGUCAGUCUGAGGAGGUUGAAACAAGCUUCUGUACAAAGUUCUCGCACUGUCCUCAUGACUGUUUCUCUGCACAUAUUAAGACAUGAACCGUUAAUGAUCAUGUGAACGUGAUGACUCAUGGAGGAGAAGCUGGUUUUCCGGUGUAAAGUGGUGCAAAAAGUAGAUGUUUAACACCGACAAACACUUUCAAAGUUUCCAUCUCUCUGAAGGUUGCCAUAGUGAUUUAAUGACUUCGAUUGAGCAGAGAGGCUAUAUUUGACACCCUCGAGGCUGCUGCUUGGGUGCAAACAGAGAAGACAUGUCACAUAAUUUACCAAACGAGGCGAGCGUCUCAGUUUACACGGUUUUAGAUUAUAGUACCCAAAAGAAGACCUCUGAAUUUUA